AAGAAGGAAAUAAAGCAAAUAAAUCACCUUUUCUUUUUUGUAUGAAAACUUCUUGUAUUUUUAGUUUUUUAUUUCUGUCGAUAUAUGCAUAAAAAAACCUCUCCCUACAUCGUUCUGAUUUGGGCUUUUUAUAGCCACUGGGAAUUUGAAAAUAAAUAUUACAAAAUCUGGUUUUAUUCCCUGCCAUAUUAGUUUUGAUUCUGUGUCGUUUUCCUUCCUUUUGCAGGUCUAUACGCGACGAUUGCGACGGAGGCGAGGGCAUGCUGAUUCUGGCCUUUAAUUGCGCCAAAACGAGGCUGAUAUCGGCUGCGAUCAUGAGAGAGCUUGCGGCGCGAACCCUAGCUAGGGUUUCUCAGAAGCUGAAACUCCUUAAGUCAGUUGGGUUAGCUGGGCUGCGUUUGUUUGUUGGGUCAAAAGGGUAUUUUGGGCCUGAUUUGGGUUGUGAGUUUAGGUAUGGGUGUAAUGGGUAUUUGGGUUAUAGUUCACGGGUAGAAUUUUUAGGUUUGAUUUUGGGUUUUAGUUUUUGGGCAGUGGUUAGUGGGUUUGUAUUUUAGGUUCUGUAAGAGGACUUAAAUGGACUGUUUAAUUUUAUUUUUUGUUUAAUUUUUAAUUGUUGUAAGCCGUGGCAAAAUAUAGGUUGUACAGCUGCCCCUGUUUGCUCAUUGAUGUGUAACAGGGAUAGAGCAAAGACUAUAAAAGGACCAAUUUUGCCCGGGCUUGUUGAGUCUUGAGUUCUUGGUCCUCAAUCUGCUCCUUGGAAUGCUGAUGUCCUUGAGAGACGCCAAAUCUGCUUCUUCGAUUUUGUUCCUUAUCAAUACAGAGACGCCAAAUCUGCUAUCUUCAAUCUGCUCUCUGACAAUAUAGAGACGCCAAAUCUACUAUCUUCGAUCUGCUCUCUGACAAUACAGAGACGCCAAAUCUGCUAUCUUCGAUCUACUCUCUGACAAUACAGAGACACCAAAUCUGCGAUCUUCGAUCUGCUCUCUGACAAUACAGAGACGCCAAAUCUGCUAUUUUUGAUCUGCUCUCUGACAAUACAAAGACGCCAAAUCUGCUAUCUUCGAUCUGCUUUCUGACAAUACAGAGACGCCAAAUCUGCUAUCUUCAAUCUGCUCUCUGACAAUACAGAGACACCAAAUCUGCUAUCUUCGAUCUGCUCUCUGACAAUACAGAGACGCCAAAUCUUCUAUCUUCGAUCUGCUCCUUGUAAACGCAAGGAUGCCAAAUCAUCUUGGAUCUGCUUAAAUGCAAAAACAUCCGAAGGUUAGAUCUACUAUGUCUUCGAUCUGCUCUCCGUCGAAUAUGGAGAUGCCAAAUCUGUUUUUUCGAUUUGUUCUCUGGCAAUACAGAGAUGCCAAAUCAUCUUAGAUCUACUUCAGCGUAAACACUUGAAAGUCAGAUCUUCGAUGCUUUAGCCUGUUACCUUACUGCUUAGGGGGUUAAGGCACAUCAAUCUUCAUUGUCCCUUGUAAGACAUAACCUGUAUAAUAUGUAUGAGUUCAUGCCUAAUGAUUAGGAUGCUAUGAUCGAAGUGAGUUAAAUGCUUCUAAUUAAACCUAUUAUAAUGCAAAAUGUUUAUGAAUAUGAUCCCUAUUCCAGACGUCACCACUCAUUCCUUCGUCGAAGUUUAUCCUUAUUUCUCUCGAAGUGUCAUUCCUACUCAACCUAUGGGUUUGUAUCAUUCUUCAAAUGCUAUGACCCACCAAAAAUGUCUGUAAGAUGAUCCUCUCUUAGGAUCAAAUUGUUUGAUUUAUCCAAUCAUCAUUUUGGACUAAAGAGAGAAUUUCCUUAAGUUCUUUCAAACCUCACUUACGUGAAUUCCUCUAACAAUUGUUCUGUUUUAGUUUCUUGUAUUAUAUAGAAAUUUCUAAAGUAAUGAGUAAAACUUCAUUUGAAAAUUAUUUAGUUUAUCUAUCAUUAUUUUAAUGCAACAUACUUUAAGAAUAAUGGAAGAUGAAUUCAAUGUUGAGAAUAAUGAGAUUUGAAUGAAUUUGUCAAAAAUACAAAGGAGAUUAAUCUGAUAGCCUAUCUUUGAGAAUAAAGAGAAUCUAAAGAAGUAAGCAGGACAAAAGUUAGAUACCCUAGAUAUCACCGCUUGAGUGUCUAUACACCAGCUCCAUGAAGACUUUCUUGAGUCCAACAUGUGUUUAAAAGAUCCAAAGUACUUUGUUGAUGCACCGAUAUGCAACGCGCUUCGCUCUUUGUUGAAUCCGAUAUAACAAGAUUAACGUGUGCUCUUCAAAAUUUGAGCUGCCCUUUUGGGUUUUCAACUCAAAACCCCUUUGGUCACAAGGCGCCCUUUGCGGGUUUUCACUUGGCCUCUCCAUUUUUUUUUCGAAAACUCAAGGCACCCUUUGCGGGUUUUCACCCUGAAUUUUUCUCUCCUUUAGACAAAGUACUUUUUGACUGAGUCUGAAUUCACUGGAUUGGAUAAACUCUUCCCAUCCAUUUCUGUUAAGAUCAAUGCACCCCUAGAGAAGGCCUUCUUCAUGACAUAUGGCCCUUCCUAAUUUGGCAUCCAUUUUCCUCUAAAGUCCUUCUGAAUAGGAAGGAUCUUUUUUAGCACAAGAUCCCCCUCGUGGAAUUCUCUUGGUCGCACUUUCUUGUCGUAAGCUCGUAUCAUUCGCUUCUGAUACAUCUGACCAUGACGAAUGGCCCUUAGCCUCUUUUCCUUAAUCAAGUUCAACUGAUCAUAUCGCGAUUGUAUCCAUUCAGCUUCAUCCAACUUUAUCUCUGACAAGACUCGGAGAGACAGUAUUUCCACUUCAAUGGGUAACACUGCUUCCAUCCCAUAAACCAACGAGAAAGGAGUUGCCCCAGUAGAGGUUCUGACGGACGUUCGGUAGGCUAAGAGUGCAAAUGGUAGUUUCCCAUGCCAAUCUCUGUAGGUUUCAGUCAUCUUCCUCACUAUCCUCUUAAUGUUCUUAUUGGCUGCUUCUACUGCCCCAUUCAUUUUUGGGUAAUACGAAGAAGAGUUAUGAUGCUUAAUCUUGAACUGGCUGCACACUUCUGCUAUCAUUCUGUUGUUCAAGUUCAAUGCAUUGUCUGAUAUGAUCCUUUCAGGCAUCUCAUACCGACAAAUGAUCUCUUUCUUCAAGAAUCGACUCACAGCCGACUUAGUAACAUUCGCAUAAAAAGUAGCCUCUACCCACUUCGUGAAGUAAUCAAUGACCACAAAAAUAAAGUGAUGCCCAUUUGAAGCUUUUAGUGAUAUUGGCCCAAUAACAUCCAUGCCCCACAUGGAAAAAGGCCAUAGAGAAGUCAUAACAUGUAGAAGUGAAGGUGGUACAUGAAUCUUGUCUCUAUAAACCUGACAUUUAUGGCAUUUCAUGGCGUAGUUGAUACAAUCCCUUUCCAUAGUAGACCAAUAAUAUCCAAACCUCAUGAUUUGCCUAGCCAUCGUGAAACCAUUAGCGUGCGUCCCACAAACACCCUCGUGAAAUUCUUCCAAGAUUAACUUAGCUUCCACGGCGUCAACACAUCUCAACAGUACUUGGUCUUUUCUUCUUUUGUACAAGAUGUCCCCAUCCAAAACGUAGUCGUAGGCUAAUCUCCUUAAAGUUCGCUUAUCAUUUUCAGUUGCCUGUUCUGGGUAUUUAUGAUCUCUCACAUAUCGCAAUAUAUCCUGAUACCAAGGGUUAUCAUCUUUUUCUUCUUACUCAAUGUUACAAUAGCGAGCUGGAGCCUCAAAGAUACUCAUCUGAAUGGGUCUCAUCUCCUCCUUUUUAUUCGCUUUAAUCAUUGAAGCCAAAGUUGCUAGAGCAUCUGCCACCUUGUUUUCGUCUCGUGGGAUAUAAUUGAAAGCGAUGUCAUCGAACUCCUCAAGUAACCCCAAACCUACCUUUCGAUAAUUGAUCAAUUUAGGAUCCCUUGUCUCCCAUUCACCUCUAAGUUGGUAAAUUACCAAUGCAGAGUCUCCAUAUACUUCCAAGGUUCUUAUUCCUCGCUCUAUAGCCACUCGGAGUCCCAUGAUGCACGCUUCAUAUUCAGCCAUAUUGUUUGUGCAAUCAAAAUCCAACUUGCACGUGAAUGGAUAAUGAUCACAAUUUGGGGAUACCAAGACUGCCCUAAUUCCAUUUCCAACCUCAUUGGAUGCACCGUCAAAAUUUAGCUUCCAUGUACAUUCUUCAAUAGUUGCCACAUACAUCAACUCCUCAUUAGGGAAAUCAAAUUUUAAUGGCUCAUAAUCUUCUAGAGCUCUGCUUGCCAAAAAUUCUGCUAUCUCACUCCCUUUUAUAGCCUUUUGACUCAUAUAAACUACGUCAAAUUGUGAAAGCAAUAUUUGCCACCUUGCCAUUCUUCCAUUUAAUGCUGUUGACUCCAUUAUGUACUUUAAUGGAUCAAGUUUUGAAAUUAGCCAAGUCGUAUGAUAUAACAUAUAUUGCCUCAAUCUUCGAGUCGUUCAGAUUAAAGCACAACACAAUUUCUCAAUUGGCGAAUAUCUCAUCUCACACUCUGUGAAUUUUUUGCUGAGGUAGUAUAUUGCCCUUUCUUUUCUUCCUAACUUGUCAUGUUUGCCAAGCACACAUCCCAUAGAACUACUAAACAUUGAUAAGUACAGAAUUAAUGGUCUAUCUAGACUAGGCAGAAAUAAAACUAGAGCAUUUAACAAGUAUUGCUUGACCUUAUCAAAAGCAUUCUGGCAUUCCUCAUCCCAAGUACCUUGGUUGUGUUUUCUAAGGAGGCGAAAUAUAGGAUCACAUUUCUCGGUUAAUUGUGAAAUAAACCGAGCAAUAUAAUUUAAUCUUCCAAGAAAACCCCGAACUUCCUUCUGAGUACGUGGUGGAGGCAAUUCUCGUAUGGCUCUAACUUUGUCUGAGUCAACUUCUAUUCCCUUUUCACUGACCACACAGCCUAAUAACUUCCCCGACCUAGCUCCGAAGAUGCACUUUGCUGGAUUAAGCUUCAACUGAAAUUUCCUUAAUCUCAGGAACAACUUUCUCAAAACUUCAAUAUGUUCCUCCUCCGUUCGAGAUUUGGCAAUCAUAUCAUCAACAUACACCUCAAUUUCUUUGUGCAUCAUAUCAUGGAAUAAGGUCACCAUAGUCCUUUGGUAUGUUUCCCCUGCAUUCUUCAACCCAAAGGGCAUUACCUUGUAACAGAAUGUGCCCCACAAUGUUAUGAAGAUGGUUUUAUUCAUAUCUUUAGGAUGCAUCUUUAUCUGAUUGUACCCCGAGAAACCAUCCAUGAAGGAGAACAACGAAUAUCCCGCUGUGUUGUCUACCAAAGUGUCUAUGUAUGGCAGAGAGAAAUUAUCUUUUGGGCUAGCUUUGUUCAGAUCUCUGUAAUCAACGCACAUUCGUACCUUUCUAUCCUUUUUAGAGACUGGUACAAUGUUAGCUACCCAUUUAGAGUACUUUACCUAUUGUAAGAAUCCCACAUCGAACUGCUUCUUGACUUCGUCCUUUAUCUUCAAUACGAUGUCUGGCCUCAUUCUUCGCAACUUCUAUUGGACUGGUUUACAAUUCUGUCUUAUUGGAAGACGAUGCACCACGAUAUCAGUAUUUAACCCUAGCAUAUCUUGAUAGGACCAUGCGAAGAUAUCCUUGAACUCAUGUAGCAACUCAAUCAGUCAUUGCUUUGUGUCCUCAGCAAUAUGCGUGCCAAUUUUCACCUCUUUCCCUUUCUCUAGGGCUACAUUCUCUAUUGCCUCUUUCUCAUGGGGCAUAAUUUGUUUCUCCUCCUGUGUUACCAUCCUCAAUAUAUCCAGAGACACACCACAAUCCUGGACAUCUUUAAAAUUUUGAGAUUCCUCUAAACACAUGUAUUGCUCGCGAGAAAAAUCAGGAUUUGUAAUAUCAAUGCUCAUGUCAUUGAUAUCUGGGGACCUGUGAAGUAUAAAGAAUAUACAAAGAAUGAAUGAAUUUAAGAAUGAUUAUUUAUGUGCUAUGAAUGAAAGAAUAAGAAUUGCAAAAGUUUAACGGAAUAUUAGUUGAUAAAAAUGAAACAAUACUCGUUCAAAUUGAUAAAAGUUAUGUUCUAUUAAAAAAUAAUAGAUGAUCGUAAGCCCAUUCCACAAAUGUAAUCCUAUUACUCCCAGGCCCUAGAGUAACAAGAAUGUUUUGAAAAUUACUCUGAAAAAUUCCUAAAGAAUACAGGAAAUUUAUCCGCAGCCUAAUUGUUCAGAGAGCUUCCCGGUUCGUAAGGACGAAUGCCCUCAAGGUUUCCUUGUUCCAAUCCUUCGUCGUGUAUAGCACUAAUCUGAUGACUUUCUUCUAUAAAUAACCCUCUCGAUAUGAAGGUUUGGGAUAUUGAAGGGAAUGUCAUCGGCUCCCACUCCACUUCUCUUCCGUUAAGGUGAGCCUUUCUUCCCUCUUGGCGCUUCUCAACUUCCUUCCUCCUUUGCUUAUGGUUUGACUUGAAGCCCAAACCAAAGCGAUCUCUCUUCUCUUUCAGUUCUAGGAUUUGAGUCCCUCCUUGUAGGUAUUUUCCUAACCCUCUUCCUAGUAAGGCUCCCUUCCCCACCAUCAUUUGUAGAGCCAUCCUCGUGGCUCUUGCUAUCUUUGGCACCGGUAGCUCACUCCCUUCUGAAAUGAAGGUUGCAUUUACAAAUUCUAAAGAGCGAAAGGAACACUCAAUAGACUCUUCAUUCGUCUCGACAUAAGGGGCCUUGCUAGUAACUGCGGCUAUAAUGUCCUCCUCCGCAUUGAUGGUUACUAACCGUCCAUCCGUUACUAACUUUAAUUUCUGGUGCAACGAUGAGGGCACCGCUCUCGCUGAGUGUAUCCACGGCCUCCCUAAUAAAAAAUUGUAGGAGGGCUUGAUAUCCAUCACCAAGAAGUCUACUUUGUAUAUACUCAGUCCAAUUUCCAAAGGGAUGUUAAUCCUUCCUAUCACCUUCCUUUAUGUACCGUCGAAGGCUCUUACCACAUUUUGACAUGUCUUCAUGUGAGAACCGUCAAUGGGUAAUCUGUUCAAUGUAGACAACGGUAGAACAUUCAAGGUCGAUCCAUUAUCGACAAGCACACUUAGGAGUCUGUACCCCUUGCAUCGAGUGGUGAUGUGCAAGGCCUUAGUUGACCCCCUGCCCCCCGGUGGGAUUUCAUCAUCAUGAAAUUAUCUGUACUUAUGUUAUUCACCAAUCGGUCCAGCUUGUUAACGAAUAUGUCAUGGGUGACAUAUGUUUCGUUGAGCACCUUCAUCAAUGCAUCCCGAUGCACCUCAGAACUCAGAAGUAGAGCCAAUACUGAUAUGCAAGCUGGCUACCUACGCAACUGCUCGACCACGCUAUACUCGUUAUGCUUAAGGAACUUUAGAAAUUCCUUAGCCUCCUCCUCCUUUACUGGUUCCUUGACAGGCACUUCAGCCUCUUUCUCCUUCUCCGUACUAACAUUCUUUGUUUUUGUGGACUCCUCUUUAAUGCCCACUGUAUCAUACUGCUUCCUACUCCGUGUAUGGGAACCUUCAAUUUGUACAUCUUUAGACGUACUGGCUAUACUCUCCUCUUCCGGCACUGUCACGUUGCAGUCAUAACUCCAUAGUACCCUCUUGCUAUCCUUAUAAGGGAAAGGCACAGGCUUAUAGAUAAUGACCUUAGGCUCCAUUUGUGUCCCCACUUCAUUAUUCCCCAGCAGGGAAAUAAUAAUCCUUGGCCGGCUAGUUCCUUUCUGUUUAUCCUCCAGCACACAUACUUGUUUUUCACAAGAGCUACCUUCAAAAAUUUGUAGCUCUUUGUUGUCUAUAAAGCCUUGCACCAAGGCCUUGAAUUCUUCACAAUCUUGAACUUCAUGGAACUCACCAUAAUUCCUUGUUUCUCCUCUCUCAUUUUUAGAGGUUAACAUACCUCUCUUCAUAAUCUCCUCCCAAAUCACCUUCAUAGGCAUCCUCACCUUAGUAACAUCUUUCUUCAUUCUCCUCUCACUGGCUUCGCCAAUGGCAUUCACUCCUUGAUUGCUAUGGUUUGGCAAUGGCUUUUCAGUAUUAGGGGUAUUGUCGAACUUCACUACCCCCAUCUUAAUAAGCCUCUCUACGGCCUUCUUAAAAUCGGUAUAGUUUUUGAUCGAAUACUCCAGUAUCAGCAUGGUAUUCGCAUCUGGCAUUUGCGUUGUACCAUUUGGGAUAUGGGGGCUGUAGUGGUUUAGGUGAAAAGGAGAAAUAACAUGUGCAUCGUAUAAGCUUUGAUAAAGCUCACGAUACGUCACGGGGAUAGGUGUGAACUGUAUCCUUUCAGAAUUCUGCCUUGUACCGACUCCUGCCUUUGAGAACUCUGUUGCUCAACCGCGGCUAUUUUAGGUUGACCAACUGUGAUUGCCUUCGUAUUAAAGGUGCUUGUGUUAUUCACUUCACUAUCCUUUCUCCUUGGGGCCAAUCUUUUGGUCGCUUCCCCCUCGAUUUUUCCACCCCUUAUGGCAUUCUCGAUCAUCUCUCCUGCCAUGACUAUAUCCGUAAAGCUUUUAGUGGUGCUCCUAAUCAUGUGAGUGAUGAAUAGAGCCUUUAGAGUGUUGAUGAACAACAUGGUAGUCUCCUUCUCCAACAACGGCGGUUAAACUUGCAUUGCCACCUCUCUCCAUCUCUGUGCAUAUUGCCUAAAAUUUUUAUUAGGCUUUUUCUCCAUGUUUUGCAGCGUGAUCCUAUCUAGAAUCAUGUCAGUCACAUAAUUGUACUACUGCAUGAAGGCCUGUGCAAGAUCCCUGCGUGAACUUAUUCUGGCCCGGUUCAAUUGAUUAUACCACUUGGCUGUUGCUCCAAUUAAACUGUCUUGGAAACAGUGAAUCAACAGUUGAUCAUUAUUCAUAUACCAGUCAUCCUCCUAAAGAACAUCGUAAUGUGGGCUUCUGGGCAAGUAGUCCCGUUGUACUUCUCAAAUUCUAGCAUCUUGAAUUUGUGAGGAAGCACCAAGCCUGGGACCAAGCUUAGAUCUUUGGCAUCAACCCUAUGAUGGCCAUCAGCAUUCUCUAAAGCCUUGAACUUUUCCUCCAACCAUUUGCAAUGUUAUUCCAACUGUCUUGCAGCCUCAGCUCUUAUAUCCUCCUUUUUCAGCCAUGUCUAAGUCAGAAAUGACAGGAUUUGCAGUAUUGUCACCCAAAUUGAAUCCUGAACCAGUUGGGAAGUUUAUGGGGAUCCCAUAUCAACCGAUCCUUGUUGGAGCCUUAUAGUGACAGAUGGCCUCUUAGGAAGUGCCUCGGUUUGUGUAGGCACGUGGGGUGGGGUAAAACCUUAAGGAUGAUCCUCACCAUCCUCGUCAGCAAUUGCCAUGGGAGCCUUUCCCUUAUCAGUGGCCCUCAGAAGUUGAGCCAUCUUAGCCAUCAUGUUCCUUUGUGCCUCCAACAUUUGCUCCCUUAUGUCAUUUUGUAUUUUUUUCAAUUGCUCUUGCAGUUGGUCCUGCAUGUCCUUCUGUAGCUUUUAAAAUCUUUGGUCCAUGUUCUUAGUUUUUGUGUUGCUUCCAGAUUUUCUUUCUCUUGCUCCCUUUCUCCCUUUUAAUUUUAACUAAUUAGGGUCUUUCUAUAAACUUGAAUACAUAUGAUACAAUAAGAUGCUAUGAAAUGCAAAUGCAUGAAUGCAAAAAGAUGUCGAUUCUGAUUCAGUUUCAUUUUAGAAAACGUUAUUUAAGGAACAAAAAUAUUUUCAUAAAACGGAUUACAAAUACGCUUUCACCUAUAGGCCUAAAGUCUUAACCCUAUCAAAUAACAAUGCUAACUCUCGUCCUCUAUCUGAUGAUGACUUAUACAUUAUACUCAGCGUUCUAGCUUGUACUGCCAAAUCCUGCAAGUGUUCAGCAACCUCUCGAAUCUGAACUAAGACCUCUUCCAUGACAUGAUCUCUAUCUCUAACUCGUCCUUGAGAUUGGUGGAGUUCUCCUUUCCAAUGUCCCUCUCGUGCCUCAAGCUGCUCGAUUCGGAGCCUACUAUUAUGCAAAGCUGACUCCAAACUUUCAAGCUUGCUCUCCAAUUCUUUUAUCUUGACCGCGGAGCUACGAAUUCGUUGAAUAUGAAGAGACCGUCCCAGUUCAACCACCUUGGUUUUCAAUUCUUGAUUUUCCUUCUCUAAGGUUUGAUUAUACGACUGCUUCUCUUGAAACUUCUUCUUCCAAUACUCGGCUUUGGCUCUUUCUUCUUGAAUCUCUUGCUACCACUGCUCUGAAGAUCUCCCUAAUCCAACCCUUUUCAACGUUACCUGGGCCUUUUUGUAGUGCAUCUUUAAAUCAUCUCUAUCUUCCUCGAUCUUUCUCUUUUCCUUUUUCACCUUCUCGACUUCCAUCUUUUGAACAUCGACGUCGAGACUUAAGCACAUUUUUUCUCUUCGAGCUUCUCAAUCCUCUUUUCAAGCUCUGAAUUCUUUCUCUCGAACUCUUGCUUCAUAACCUCCAACUCUGAUGGAAUCACUCGUAAGCUCUCCUCUAAUGAUCGAGCCAUCCCCAAAAUCGGCCUAGGGACAUUAUCGUUGACUCUCCUACUAAACCAUCAUUUAUACUCAAGGUUUGACGUCGAGCCUCCGGUCAAGAUCUUCAUACAGAAAGGCUUCUUCCAAGCCUCAAAAAUCUCUGCAUCCUCUUCUUAUAGUGAUCUCCUUUAUAAGAGAAAUCACUCUGAGCUAGACCCUGUGUAACCGAUAUGAACUGCCUCGCUCGGUAUUACCUUAGAACAAGAAAUAGUGCAUAUCCAACAACUCCCCAAAUUCCUAGCAAAGGGACUCAAUCAAAACUGCCACAGCGGUAAAGGAUUUCACUAGGAACCAACCAAAGAGCCUUCCACAUAACGUCUUCCUCUCGAAGAUUCUGAAGAAUGUCUGUCCACCUCUCUUCUGAAAUGUCAUCUCUCCUAGGCAUGUCUACUGCUUCCUUUAAGGGAGAAUAACCCUCAAAGAAUACUCGGUAAGGAACCUUAUCAAGCUUCCAGAAGUGGCUAUGGAGCCAGACUAGCAACAAUUGCGCACAUCCAAUAAAUCUACCCUCGCCGGCCCUCUGACAUGCACUCAAAGAUCUAAAUGUCUCAGCUAGGAUUUUUGGUACCGGUGUAUUCUCCUUACCGACACGAUCGAACAAAUCCACAACCGCCUCAUCUAUGUGCCCCAACGCCUUUGGGAAAAUCACCAUGCCAUAAAUACUCAAAGCUAUGGCGUUGACCCUUUUCUUUACGUCUGGAUGUGUCGAUAUCAAAUCCCUCAAAACGGCCCAUGGAACGUACUUACUAUCACCCUUUUACUGUACACAAGCUACAACCCACUGCUCACUCAUCCCAGUAAUCAUCACCAACUUCUUUGCAAAAGUUGGAAGACUAGCAGGCCUAACAUAAGCCUUGUGACCCUGAAUCCUCGGGCAAUGCAGUAAAGUCGUAUACUCCUCCAAAGUAAGUACAAGAUGAACAUCACCAAAUGUAAAGCAACUAUAAGCAGGGUUCCAGGACUGUACCAUAGCUCGAAAUAAGUGCCUAUCUACUUUGACGUCUAGCAAAUAGGGAAGGUCUCCAUAAUUUUGAUAGAAAAGCUACUUAGCCUCAUCAUCCUAUUGGGUCCACAUGUCUCUCAACUCCUGAAACUCAUUCUGCGUCGAAUUAAUACGGGUGAAGUCCCAUAACUCUGAUGUAUGCCCCUCAGUGACACUAUCUCCUUUCUCUAACUGGGUUUUCUCCGACCAGGUACAGACAGAGGCAUUGUCCUCCAUUUUAUCAAGAUAUUCGUUCCCCAUUACAAAACUUUCUAACUCAGAAAUCGAACCGUGAAUCGAUAAUUUUGAAUGUUGAAUGACAUGCAAUGAUAGCAAAAUAAAAUAGGUCAGUAUCAUAUAUAUAAGAAAUGAUAAACAAGUACUUACAAGGGUAGCUUACUAAAGGCUAUCACUAUUUUCCCUAGGGUAAGCACUUAAAGUUCACUAUAUGAGUUUCAGUUCUAAAGCGAGGGUACCUGAACCAGCAGAUUCAUCGGUCCUCACCCAUUAUAGGCUCAUAUAGACCAAGUUCAGUUCAGGGGAACACAUUUCCCUAUGGCUAUGCGGAGAUUAAAAUUCACGAAGACAUAGGUACAAUAUCCCAGAAGUAAUCCACCAACUUAUGCGGAGGUGAAAACCUCACGAAAGCUUAGUUUCUUACUCCCACUUAAAGGUGUGACCAACGGUCAUGCAAAUGCAAUGUGCGAAAUCAACAUAUGCAGCAAACACUUGUAAAAUGAUCAAUCUUUUAAAAUUUUCCAAACUUUUGACAUUAGGACACAAAAAAUCAAUUUCUUGGCUUGACUCUCUUAUAUGUCCCCAGUGGAGUCGCCAAGCUGUCGAAACCUCCUUUUUAAAAACGAGAUUUUUAAAGACGGAGAGGGUAUUUUAAGAACGGGAGUCGCCACCAACCUUUUAAAGUGUGAUUGGAUCACUUUAUAAAAUGUUUUGGUCUACGAAAUUACGAGAAAAUAGGUUCGGGAGUCGGUUACGCACGAGGAAUGAUUAACACCCUCGUAACGCCCAAAUUGGUACCAAAUUGAAUAAUUUUGUCUUAAUGUCAAAAGUUUCAAAGAAUUUAGAAAUAAGAUCUCUUUAAAAUCGUAAUAAUUUGAGUUUAAAAAAAAUCAAGAUUCUUUAGCUUCGAAAGAAUAUAAACAUCAUAUCCAGCAUGAUUGGACACGAUACUUUUAAACUUUCGUAACUAAAAUCACCUUGUGAUUUUCAAAACUUAUUUAGAAGGAUAUUUUAGGUAUUUAGACAAACGGGAAAUCACAACCCAGCAUGUUAGGGCACUACCUCCAGAAUUCCUAAAUACCAAAAACAUUGCCUUAUUAAAAAAAAUCUUUUUGGAUCGAAUGAAAUAUAGAAGUUCUUUUAAAGUGAUGAUGCAUUUGUCAUAUUACAAAGGACUAAUAUUAAAUAAAUUAACCCACAUGAUACCUAUUUUAAAAUUCCAUGCAAAUAUAAUAUAGAUGAUGAAUACUGGCAUAAAUUACACAAUAUAUAUUGUCAUCUUAUGCAUAUAAUCAUAGAUAACAUAAAAUAUACAUGCAUUAUCGUUAUAUGCAAAAUACGACGUAAAGCAUAAUGAAUACAACAAUAUAAAUUGCAUGAUAUAAAUAUAAUAAUAUCAAAUGCAAAUGUAACUUAAAUUAACAUAAAUAAUUAAUUUCAUUCGAAUAUGUAAAAACGAAAACAAAUAAUAAAAACGAAAACAAAUAAUAUAUAAAAUUUAACCUACUAAACAAUAUCAAAAUAAAAUAAAACCAAAAAUAAAUAAAAAAAUUAUAAUAUAUAAAAUACAAAUCAAAUGAAAUAAAAAUAAAGAUAUUUAAAAAUAUUUAGAAUAAUAUAAAAUAAUAAAAGAGAACCCCUUUUUUUAAAAUAUGGUACAUGCACAAAUCAUAUUAUAAAGUUUAAGAACUUAAUAUACUAAGAAAUAAUGUACUAAAUAAUGAUAUUACACAUAUUUAUAUAAUAAUAAAAAUUUAAAAACCUAUAUAAUUAAUAAGUAAUAAAAUAAUAUAUAUUUUAUAAUAAAAUAGAAGUAACGUAAGGAAUAAUUUAUGGUAAAAUAUAUAAUAUAUAAUAAAUUUAUAAACAAAAUAUAUAUAAUGAUAUAAACUAUAUGAUAGAUCAAAUAUAAAAUAAUAAGAAUGAUAUAUUAAGUAAAUUUACAUAUAAAAAUGUAGUAAAAUAAUUAAUAUAUAUAGUAAAAAUAUAAAAUAAAAUAUAAAUGGAAUAAAUAACAUAUAAUAAAAAUAUAACAUAUAAUAAAAUUUAUAAAAAUGUAUAUAAUAUUAUAAAUAACAUAAAUAAAAUAAUAUAUUAAUAUAUAACUAAUGUUUAUAAAAAAAUAUAUAGUAUUUAAAAUAAAUUGAAUUUAUAAAACAAAAUUUUAAUUUAAUUUUAAAAUUUUAGGGUUAAUUAUAAAUAAAUUUAAAGAUUUUGGGCCAAAUUGAAAGACUCGCUAAAUUCGUAGGGACUCACUGGGCAAUUAGCCUUAAUCCCAAAAACAGCAUCGUUUCAGAAUAGGCCUCAAAGGGGCUGUUAGGACUAAAUUGAAACAGAAAUAAAAGGUUAGGGUCAGAUUUUAAUAAAAAUAAAAUGAAAUUAUAAAUAUAAAAAAUACAGAAGGGUUGAUUGGACAAUUAGCCCUUUUAUUAAAAAAUGCGCGGAUCCUAAUGCUUCGAAACGACGUCGUUUUAGGCUUAUUGGAUUAAGCUAAAACGGCGUCGUUUUACUGAUGUUAUAAAAGUAAAAAAAAAACUUUAAACAUUCAUUUUAAACAUUCAACAGAAAAAAAAAGAGAGCUUCAAAAUUCUCUCAGAGCUCCGGCCAGUGGCUAUCCUGGCUCGUCCCGGAGCACCACUGCCUUCGGCCACACGCGCUUCACGUGCCACCGUCUGAGCCACCGUGCCCGGCGAUUAGGGCUCUAAAAAAUUUCCUCUUUCUCUCACGAAUCAACAGGUAACCCUUAUACUCAUUUCUAACACUAUUUACAUGCAAAGAAAAAAUAACGAUAAAGAAGGAAAUAAAGCAAAUAAAUCACCGUUGCUUUUUGGUAUGAAAACUGCUUGUAUUUUUAGUUUUUUUAUUUCUGUCGAUAUAUGCGUAAAAAAACCUCUCCCUACAUCGUUCUAAUUUGGGCUUUUUAUAGCCACUGGGAAUUUGAAAAUAAAUGUUACAAAAUCUAGUUUUAUUCCCUGCCAUAUUAGUUUUGAUUCUGUGCCGUUUUCCUUCCUUUUGCAGGUCUAAACGCGACGAUUGCGACGGAGGCGAGGGCAUGCUGAUUCAGGACUUUGAUUGCGGCGUAAAACGAGGCUGAUAUCGGCUGCGAUCAUGAGGGAGCUUGCGGCGCGAAUCCUAGCUAGGGUUUCAUAGAAGCUGAAACUCCUUAAGUCAGUUGGGCUAGCUGGGCUGUGUUUGUUUGUUGGGUCAAAAGGGUAUUUUGGGCCUGAUUUGGGUUGUGAGUUUAGGUAUGGGUGUAAUGGGUAUUUGGGUUAUAGUUCACGGGUAGAAUUUUUAGGUUUGAUUUUGGGUUUUAGUUUUUGGGCAGUGGUUAGUGGGUUUGUAUUUUGGGUUCUGUAAAAGGACUUAAAUGGACUGUUUAAUUUUAUUUUUUGUUUAAUUUUUAAUUUUUGUAAGGCCGGGCAAAAUAUAGGUUCUACAGGUGUAACAACCUAUUUUUUAGUGGUGUCAAAAAUAAUGGUUCUGGGACUACAAUUCCAAUGAGAGUCCAUAGAUAUAUUUAAUUAAUAUUUAUGAUUUAAAUAUAGUAUAAUAAUGAUUAGUGAUUUAAUAGAUUUAAUUAAUUGGUAAGUUAGUCAAGGUACCAACGGUGCAUACUGAAAAUCAAGUGGUUUUGGAGAAUGAGGUAUCAGGACCUCGUUUUUGUAAAC
rnacentral:lncRNA from 1 species